GACGAACCACACAAACGUUAUUCGGAAUUACUGGGCUUAAAGGGUGCGUAGGCGGCGCGGAAAGUUGGGUGUGAAAUCCCUCGGCUCAACCGAGGAACUGCGCCCAAAACUACCGUGCUCGAGGGAGAUAGAGGUGAGCGGAACUUAGGGUGGAGCGGUGAAAUGCGUUGAUAUCCUAAGGAACACCCGUGGCGAAAGCGACGUGCUGGCUCUCUUCUGACGCUGAGGCGCGAAAGCUAGGGGAGCAAACGGG
rnacentral:rRNA from 1 species